UACGAAGGGGGCUAGCGUUGCUCGGAAUUACUGGGCGUAAAGGGCGCGUAGGCGGAUGUUUAAGUCGGGGGUGAAAGCCCGGGGCUCAACCUCGGAAUUGCCUUCGAUACUGGACAUCUUGAGUUCGGGAGAGGUGAGUGGAAUGCCGAGUGUAGAGGUGAAAUUCGUAGAUAUUCGGCGGAACACCAGUGGCGAAGGCGACUCACUGGCCCGAUACUGACGCUGAGGCGCGAAAGCGUGGGGAGCAAACAGG
rnacentral:rRNA from 1 species